AAUCCAUGGUGCAGGCAAAAUCGAAGCGAGUCCUUGUACCUUUCAUAGGCAUCACACAUGCACUCGUCAUCGAACUACACAAAAGAAGAUAUGUCGUUUCUCAAUUU